AAUCGCUAGGUAGUAAUAGUUAUGUUCUUGAAACUUAAAAAAUUUGGCGGUAUUUUAGUCUAUUCAGAGGAACCUGUUCUGUAAUUGAUAAUCCACGUUGGACCUUACUUAAAUUUGUUUAGCAAUUUAUAUACCGUUGUUAUUAAAAUAUUUUUGAGAAAAAUAAUAUUUAAUAAUUUUGAUAAAAAUUUAUAUCAAAUCAAGGUGUAGUUUAUGUUUAAGUAGAAAUGGGUUACAAUAAAAUUAUUUUAUGGAUAUAAAUAUGAAAAAUUUAUUGAAAUUGGAUUUGAUCGUAAAAUUAUAAAGAUUAAUAAUUUGAUUUUAGCUCUAAAAUAUGU
rnacentral:rRNA from 1 species